rnacentral:snoRNA from 1 species
AAGCCGAAUGAUGAUUUUUUGGAUUAAUUCUCACGACGGUCGUCUGAGGCACCUUUUGGUGCCGAAAUUGAUGUAAAGAUCCAAACUUUCUGAUUGGUU